CUUCUCCCAUCACUUUUAUCAAACAAAGCCAAACCAGCCUGAAGCUGGUUUUUAACAUGAAACUCUUCAUUAGACAGCUCACACAAAGCAUGCCAGGUGCACCAGGGCAUGUCCAGGCACAAAACAUUUUCAUUUGCAAACCCGUUGUUCACCAGUUUGGGAGGGAUGUGUGAGUUGAUGGCUCGUGUUUCUGUGAGGAAUGCAACAGUUUGCCACCCAGCUAUAGCCAAAGCCUGAGAGAGACCUGAGGAUGCUGAGAUUCCCCGUAUAAUGCUGCAGUUUCUCCCUUGUUUUACAGUAAUUUGAUGUUGCCUGAACACAGUAGUCGACCUUUUUUAAACUCCUGCUCGCAGGGUAGAACAGCAGGGAUGAUAAACCUUAUGCUUUAGUUCAGAAAUAGCACAGAUCAGUGAGAGCAGCCAGGGCUGCACCACGGGAGAGAGGGGUAGUGGCAGCACACAGCUCUACUGACUGCUGGGGUUUAAUACAUAUACAAGAAAACCAUACUGCCUGCCAGAGAAACUGCAUGUCGGCCUAAGAGGCUGCUUAGGCUUAGCUUGCUCUUGAAGCCUGGGUCAUGUCUGGUUUUACAUCCUUUCUCUCCUCAAAGUGUGCUCUCUUUAGAGCUCUGAAUUACUGAGUGCUCAGAACCCGGGAUGGAGAUUUCGAGGAGCACCAUGGUGGCCCUGCUCCACCUGGAGCUGUCUCCCUCAGCUGAACAUGUUUAGGUUGUUGUUCUUUCCUAGAGGCAAAACUUGCAUCUCACAAUAGCCUGAAAACCCCCUGAAGUUGUUAAGUAGGGUGGAAAGGCAAGCACAGUAAGUGCAUGGAGGGAAAACCCCACUCUGGCCAAUUGAAAUUUUACUUGUGCCCUAAAGUGGGGAACAAAACCAAUUAAGAGUAGCAGUGACCCUGCAUCCUGGGCAGCCUCGCUGUGCCUGGGCUGCGGAGGAGCAGAUUUGUUCUUAGGGCAACACAGUCGGGGGGAAAGGUAAAGCACAGCACAAGGAGAUGGAAAAAACGAGCAGAGAAACGAGGAGAGGAUGAAAGCAGCACUCAGAGUCACCUGGGUGCUGGAGAGCAUCUGCUGUGUGUGUGCAGAGGGACACUGAACACGAGGAACGGCUCUGAAGUGCCACGCUGGAUGUUUAUGGCACGGAUAGCACCGGCACAAAUGAGAAGGUGCCCACGUUUCAGCAGGCUGUGCACAACGUGUGUGACUCUCAGGGUGACCACAGACCUCAGCAGCAGCGGCACUUCAGAGCUUGUGGACAGACCUUUAAAAUUGCACCAAAGGGUAGUGCUGGAGUGCAGAGACAGCUGAGGCUCCUCCAGCUGGAAGAAUUCUCCAGCUCUCACCUCCUGACAGAGGCAAUGGGAGAUGGGGAUGGCAGAUGAUAAUGUAAUUCCACGUCCUAACCAAGCACUCAGGAGCGCAUCCGAAAAGCGCCUGGAAGCGGAGGAUUGACAAGCUGCUAAUCCAAUCCUCUGACAGUCACAGGGUGCCCUGCAAAAGAGAUCCUUUGUUCUUCAAGAGCUGAUUGAGCUCCAUUAGUAGCCAUAUCCAGAGCCCUGGGCGCAAUAUUAAUGCUAAUACCGUUGUUACGGAGAUGGGAAGCCGUCAGGAAGGAACAAUAAUCAGCCCACAAUAUCAUUGGACAUAUUCAUGCAGCUUGUACUGGGGUGAGAUCCGAGAGCUCUGAACCUUCCUGAGCAGAAAACCAAAAUCCAAUUAGCAUCUUCCCCCUAAACCUCCCCGGCUGCCUUCACUGGAGAUGACCUUGGGCAGCUGUGUUGCGAUUUUGCCAAACCCUCAGUGACGUCUUGAGUUCACUGCUGGUGCUGGGCUUUGCCCAGGCAGAAGGCCUGGCUCUGCAGCCCACCUCUCACGCUGGGCAAGACUUGCUCACAGAAGUUCCCUCUGCAGCCUUGGCGUGCUCUGGGCUGAGCUGUGGCACUGAUGGAUUUCGGGACUCACACGUCCUUGGGGAUGUCCAACCCAACUGGUGAGAAAACUCCUCUCCCUCUCCCACCUCCUGCCAGAGUCCCAGCUCCUGGAUCACAGAAUGCUUUAGGUUGGAAGGACCUCAAAGAUCACCUUGCUCCAAGCCCCAGCCGUGGGCAGGGAUGUCACCUGACGUGGCUUUCCUGGGAAAGGUGGAUGGCAAGCCCUGGCCCAUGGUCACCCCCAUCGUGCUGAUGAAGGAUUUGGGGAGAGCAGGAGCUGCUCCAUGUGCCCUCACAGAGCCCUCUGCUCCAGCCCAAGGGCAGCCCAGCCUGUGCUCAAAGGAAAAUCUGCUCCUUUAGCAAAAAGGUUCCUUGCAAUCAGUUUGAAUCAAACCUAGAAAAACUCUAAUUAUAAGCAAAAUUUAGCCUGAUGGGACAAAAAUAAGAAAUAUUUUAAUCUGGGGCAGGAUAGGAAUUUACAUGCAUUCAUUGCCCAAUGGUAGGGUGAGAAAUCAACUGUAGAAGAACGCUCAAAGAAUUUAUUUUUUUACAUGUUUACUGCACUGUCCAUUUAAUAUUUUUUCAUUAAGCUGGGAAACAAGGCUGAGUUUCCACAGACAGGGCUGAGUUUCCACAGCCUGCUCUCCACAUCCCUGCUCCUCUGACAAGCAGCCUGCAAUGAGUCUGGCAGAUAUUUCAUGACAGUGACCCUCCUCCUGGUCCCCUCAUGGCUCAAGGCUUCCACGGGAACAUCAUCCACCAGGUCUGGUCCUAAUCACCACAGGCAGGGCUCUGAAGGGAGUGAGGAUCUUGAUGGAAAGAAGUGCAUUCAUUCCCAGACAGCAUGGACAGCUUCUGGACGUAAAGCUUUUCUUUCUCCUGGCUGUGCAAUCCACGGGGACAGAGGUAAAAGACUUGUUCUGGCUGUGCUAAUGUCACGGGGAUGUUCAACAUGAAUUGUAAGUUGUCUUCACCCUGAAUCUUUGUUGCAGCUGCUGUCAACAGCACAAGUGAAGAUCCCAAAAUAUAAAGCAUUUUGAACUCGUUCUUUUCAUUUCCUUUCCAUUAUACCAGGAUGAUACUGCCUUAUCUCAAAGACACACUUGCAUACUUGCACUCUAUAAUGGAGAAACAGCACUACAUACAGGUCCCUAAAAGUAAACACCAAACUCUGUAAAUGUUGCAUAUAAUUAGGAAGAUUCUUCUGGAUUUAUUAUUUUUUCCCCCAAAGCUGUUACUGCUUGAUAUGGCUGUCAUCUGUGUCACUUCUAUGGAAAGAUAUUCUGUGUUAGAAAGGGGAAAUCAGAGCAGCAAGCUAGUAACUUGUUCCACCAGGGAGAUUUAAGGUAGAAAACAAUGAAGCAGGGCUGCUGACAGCACCGUGGUGGCUGUACCUCCUCCUUAAGUGGAACGGGUCAGGAUCACCCUUGUUUUAGAGAAGAACCAGCACAAACCUCACACCUGAUGGACACAAACAUCCUUCAGACUGCAAAGAAAAGAGCUGUUUCCUGUAAAUAUCCCCAGCCCAAGACCGACAAGUCAAACUCAGUCUCAGCGUCAUAAUUCUGAUUUGAUUUCCUAGUAUAUUAAUUUUCACCAUUUGAUUUCACUGAUCUGUUGAGUCCAUUUCAGCUGUGGCCUUUAUUUGAUUGCUUAAUUGGCUUAGCAAAGCCUGGCUGCCUCAGCUCUGCCUCGUCUUCUUUCCUGUAAGACCCACAGAACGCAAACUGAGCUUAUUUUACACUAAAUGGUGGUCAAGCCUGGAAACCCCAGGGCACAGAUGAUCUCAGUUAUACGGAGGGCAGCCUCUAGAUGGACCUCACCUCGUUCAGCUUGAACCUUGACACGUGUGCCCAGUUUGGGCUCAGCAUCCAGGCUGGGGCAGGACUCUGCUGUGUGGGGCUUUGCUGCUGCCAGGAGCAGGGUCAGGAGCAGCUGGGGGCCAUCAGCAGGGACAGUGACACCUUCCCCUGUGCUUCCCUGCCACCAGCACACCUGAGUGAACCCGGCCUGGCUGCUGCUGGGGUUUCCAGCACGCUGAGGCAAUGCACUGGCACCUCUGAGUUUGCUUCAUUUGCAUUUAAACAAUCAAGUGUUUUAAUUAAAAUGCAUAAAUGAAUCAUCCACUAGAAGCCCUAUCUCCCAUGUUAUUUAUUUUUUAUAUUAAACCUUCAAUUUGAUGGAUAAGCACUGCCAUUGGUCAUUUCUGCAGAAAUGAUCCCAUCAGCAGUGAAAUAUUUGACAAAUCUGAUGUUAAAUUUUUCAUCUCUAGCUUUCAGCACUUGUGGUCCAUUGAGAUAAAUAGUACAGCUCACACUUUUGAUCUAUUCUUUGAAGCUCUCUGGGACCAGCUCUCUGUUAAAGAGGGAGAGGCGCAGGUCAAGGGAUGUUUUGAGAUGCAGACAGUGCUCUCAGACAUGGCCCAGCACAUCCUCAGUGACAAGAGUGUCCUCUCCUUCAGCGUGUUCCAGCUGUGACAACUCUCUCUUCUUUCUCUGUAGUGACAGAAUUUGGGGGUUUGGCUCUGAUCUGUUGAUAAACCAGGAAUUAAUGUGGACUUUCUGCUAAGUGAAACCCACUUUCUUUAUGCUUUUCCUUUUUUAAUUAUUAUUUUUACCCUGUAACAGGGGUAUCUGCAGCCACCAGGCAGAGCCUCCUCCUACUGGAACACACUGCUUUGCAGUAUGGCACUGCACAUUUAACUCCAAGGAAUGUAAUUUGUCCUAAGAACUGCAUCCUACAGAGAAUAAAGCAGAAAACACACUCUGCUGGUAGCUUCUCUCAGAGGAUUACUGUAAAACUAAGCUAAUAACAAUGCAACAUUCCUUCAGAAACUGAAAUCUUGCUCACAUGCUAAGAAGCUGUAAGAGUAACAGCAUCAUCUGGUGGCUUCUGCCACAAAGAAUGGAUUAAUUGAUUUUUUUUUUUGUUCUACUUUCAUUUAAAUUCCUCAUCUCUCAGGUGAGGCCAGGUCCUGAAGGAACGCGUGAGAGGAGAAACAGACGGAAAAUGAUAAAAAUGAGAGAAGGUAAUAAUGAAAUCCUCAGCUAUACUGAAACAUUAAACUGCAUCUGAUAUCUCAGAUCUUUUUAAAAGGAUUUUUUAAAGAACACUGAAAAACACCAUCCUCAUUGAAGUCAAGCUUCAUUUACAGCAAUGCCAGAUGGGUUGGGAUUUUGGAAGCAUACAUUAAGAGCAGGAACAACGCCGCUAAAGGCCUUGAACCUUAGAUAAGGAUUGGUGCAAACCUCCACGAAGUCUUAAAGACAAUUCCUUUUCAUCAUUUCUUUUGUAAGUGCCAAAUCAGACCCUUCCAACUCCUCCUUCACCUUCCUUUUGGAAUUCCUCUUGCUGAUGUUAACCCUCGGAGAGGUGGUGUGUAAAAAUGAGAUGAGCGUGCCUUCGUCUGCAGAAGGCUUUCACUGAGCAGAGGAGUGUUAUGGCUACGAGGGCAAACCAAGCCAAUCCACAAAGCUCCCAGCUGUGGCUGGGACAGCAGCAGAGGCUGAAGCAGCCUGCCUGAGCUAAUAAACCUCCCCAGCCUCAAGGGGCUGGAGCACACCCAGAAAUGCCCAAGGUCAGAAGUUCCCCACGAUCCCGAUGCAGCACCAGGGCCACACCAGCCCAGAGAACCCAAAGACUUCAGGAUUAGCUGUUGCAAAAGCUUAUUAACAAGGCAAUAACAUGAAAAUUAUUCCUUCUGGCUUUAUUGGUGCGCAGUGUCUGUUUUACAUUCAUAUAGUUUCUGUCCUAUCCUUGGCAGUUGUCUUCUUUGUUGU